UUUUUAAACUAAAUCCAGUGUUCAAAUCUGUGUUUCUAUUUUCGUUAUCUAAUGCCGGCCAGUUAAUUAUACGUCAGCUUGUACACCUAAAUUCGGCCAAUCAUAUUGCGUCAAUCAUUUUUUUGGGUCAUAGCAUCUUGAUUCAUAUGUCGCAGCUUAUAUACGCAACGGUUAAUAAUUCACCCGGAACCUUCUAAAGACGUCGAGGCGAGGGGUACACUUCAGGACCAGCCGUACACUCGGCUACACACCCAGCUGUAAUGGAGCCUCUCUGUUGUGUGCCCAAAUCUCAAAGAGAAAAAAAAUCCUACUGUGGACACUGGACAGACUUUCCACCGUUUCCUCAAAGGGCAGGCACUUCGGCGUGAAUGGAUAAAUCACAUCCAGAGGGAAUCUGGUCCAUAUUUCAAGAUCAACGCUGAGACCAAGGUUUGCUCUGAACACUUUGAGAAGCAGUGCUUUGUGAAGACCGCCUGUGGAAUCACAAAGCUUAUAAAGCAUGCUGUGCCAACCUUGUUCGUCUGGACUUCAGAGAGGCCAAAGAUGAGAAUCAUCAUUCGUAGACCGAGUAUGGAUUCCAUGGAGGUGGAUGAAAACCAGCCUGAUGAGAGAAGGGAUGCCUUGAG